rnacentral:rRNA from 1 species
GAGUUUGAUCCUGGCUCAGGAUGAACGCUGGCGGCGUGCUUAACACAUGCAAGUCGAACGGACUCAUAUUGAAACCUAGUGAUUUAUGAGUUAGUGGCGGACGGGUGAGUAACGCGUGGAUAACCUGCCGUAUACCGGGGGAUAACACUUAGAAAUAGGUGCUAAUACCGCAUAAGCGCACGGCUCCGCAUGGGGCAGUGUGAAAAACUCCGGUGGUAUACGAUGGAUCCGCGUCUGAUUAGCUAGUUGGCGGGGUAACGGCCCACCAAGGCAGCGAUCAGUAGCCGGCCUGAGAGGGUGGACGGCCACAUUGGGACUGAGACACGGCCCAAACUCCUACGGGAGGCAGCAGUGGGGAAUAUUGCACAAUGGGGGAAACCCUGAUGCAGCGACGCCGCGUGAGUGAAGAAGUAUCUCGGUACGUAAAGCUCUAUCAGCAGGGAAGAAAAUGACGGUACCUGACUAAGAAGCCCCGGCUAACUACGUGCCAGCAGCCGCGGUAAUACGUAGGGGGCAAGCGUUAUCCGGAUUUACUGGGUGUAAAGGGAGCGUAGACGGCAGCACAAGUCUGGAGUGAAAUCCCGGGGCUUAACCCCGGAACUGCUUUGGAAACUGUGCGGCUGGAGUGCAGGAGGGGUAAGCGGAAUUCCUAGUGUAGC